UGGGGGAUAUUGCACAAUGGGGGAAACCCUGAAGCAGCAACGCCGCGUGGAGGAUGAAGGUUUUCGGAUUGUAAACUCCUUUUGUUAGAGAAGAUAAUGACGGUAUCUAACGAAUAAGCACCGGCUAACUCCGUGCCAGCAGCCGCGGUAAUACGGAGGGUGCAAGCGUUACUCGGAAUCACUGGGCGUAAAGAGCGCGUAGGCGGGAUAGCAAGUCAGAUGUGAAAUCCUAUGGCUUAACCAUAGAACUGCAUUUGAAACUGUUAUUCUAGAGUAUGGGAGAGGUAGGUGGAAUUCUUGGUGUAGGGGUAAAAUCCGUAGAGAUCAAGAGGAAUACUCAUUGCGAAGGCGACCUGCUAGAACAUAACUGACGCUGAUGCGCGAAAGCGUGGGGAGCAAACA
rnacentral:rRNA from 1 species